AACGAACGCUGGCGGCAGGCCUAACACAUGCAAGUCGAACGCAUCGCAAGAUGAGUGGCGCACGGGUGAGUAACACGUGGGAAUGUACCCUUUGGUUCGGAAUAACGUUUGGAAACGAACGCUAAUACCGGAUGAGCCCUACGGGGGAAAGAUUUAUCGCCAAAGGAGCAGCCCGCGUCUGAUUAGCUAGUUGGUGGGGUAAGGGCCUACCAAGGCGACGAUCAGUAGCUGGGCGGAGAGGUUGGUCAGCCACCCUGGGCCUGAGACACGGCCCAGACUCCUACGGGAGGCAGCAGGGGGAAAUAUUGGACAAGGGGCAAAAGCCUGAUCCAGCAAUGCCGCGUGAGUGAGGAAGGCCUUAGGGUUGUAAAGCUCUUUUCCCAGGGAUGAUAAUGACAGUACCUGGAGAAUAAGCUCCGGCUAACUCCGUGCCAGCCGCCGCCGUAA
rnacentral:rRNA from 1 species